rnacentral:rRNA from 1 species
GAUGAACGCUGGCGGCGUGCCUAAUACAUGCAAGUCGAGCGAAUGGAUUAAGAGCUUGCUCUUAUGAAGUUAGCGGCGGACGGGUGAGUAACACGUGGGUAACCUGCCCAUAAGACUGGGAUAACUCCGGGAAACCGGGGCUAAUACCGGAUAACAUUUUGAACCGCAUGGUUCGAAAUUGAAAGGCGGCUUCGGCUGUCACUUAUGGAUGGACCCGCGUCGCAUUAGCUAGUUGGGGAGGUAACGGCUCACCAAGGCAACGAUGCGUGCCGACCUGGGAGGGGGAUCGGCCACACGGGGACUGAGACACGGCCCAGACUCCUACGGGAGGCAGCAGUAGGGAAUCUUCCGCAAUGGACGAAAGUCUGACGGAGCAACGCCGCGUGAGUGAUGAAGGCUUUCGGGUCGUAAAACUCUGUUGUUAGGGAAGAACAAGUGCUAGUUGAAUAAGCUGGCACCUUGACGGUACCUAACCAGAAAGCCACGGCUAACUACGUGCCAGCCGCCGCCGUAA